AUAUGCUUUCUGGUGGACACUAAUAUGGAACACAAAGAUCUUCUCACAUUGCAGCUGCUCCCAUAUAUCCAUUGAUAUAUGCCUCUAACUCCAGACCUUUUUGUCCUUAAUCUUCUAAUCCGGUUAUCUCUUUUCCUUUAGUGCAAUUUUUCCUUAUUUGUUUGUUUUGUUUUUUUUUUUAAGUAAAUAGCUAGGCUUCUAAGCCCUACCACAGAGAGUCAACAGACAAACUGCCCAGGGAAAAGUUAUGACCUCAGGCAAAGUGAAUUUCUACAGCUAAGGCAGAUCCUGAAGAAGCUCACAAAUAAAGGCUGCAUACUCACACAUUCCCUGAAGCUUGACAGUGCCAGCCACCAUACUGUGAGGGAGCUGAAGUAAGCCCACAUGAGGAAGAAUUGAGGUCCCAAGCCAACAGCUGCAGCUAAGAUCCAAGCUCUCAACCAGUACCAGUUCAUCCGUUAUAGAGAAAAUGUCAUGCCUGUGGGAUCUAGAAGACAUACUCCUUUGUUUUUAGUUCUGCUAGUACCCUAUGUGCCUUUACCAAAACCUUACUGAAUGGAUUU
rnacentral:lncRNA from 1 species